rnacentral:rRNA from 1 species
UAAAAAGGCACCGGAUGAACUGUGGAUAGCGGAGAAAUUCCAAUCGAACUCAGAGAUAGCUGGUUCUCCUCGAAAUAGCUUUAGGGCUAGCCUUGAGGUUAAAGCAUAUGGGGGUAGAGCACUGAAUGAGGUAGGGGCCUAACCAGGUUACCAAACUCUAUCAAACUCCGAAUACCAUAUGUAAAUACUCAGGAGUCAGACUGCGGGAGCUAAGUUCCGUGGUCAAAAGGAAAACAGUCCAGACCGUCAAUUAAGGUCCCAAAGAUAUAGCUAAGUGGAAAACGAUGUGAUUUUGCGUAAACAACCAGGAUGUUGGCUCAGAAGCAGCCAUUCAUUUAAAGAGUGCGUAAUAGCUCACUGGUCGAGUGAAGUUGCGCGGAAAAUUACCGGGGCUAAGCUAUACACCGAAAUUGCGGAUUUGCAGUUGAAAGAUACUGUAAGUGGUAGAGGAGCAUUCUGUAGUAGGACGAAGCAGUACCGAAAGGAGCUGUGGACGAGGCAGAAGAGAGAAUGCUGGAAUAAGUAGCGAGAGGAUGGUGAGAAUCCAUCCCGUCGAAAAUCUAAGGUUUCCUAGGGAAGGUUCGUCCGCCUAGGGUAAGUCGGGACCUAAGGAGAGGCCAAAAGGCGUAUCUGAUGGACAGCAGGUUGAAAUUCCUGCACUAUAGCUAUACUUAAAAGAUGCAAGGGACGCAGAAGUGGAAGAUAACCAUGGAAGAGGAAAUACAUGGCCCGCAAGGGGGAGUGAAACAAUAAGUAACGAAGUAUCAAGAAGCACGCUGACGAGAAAAGCUUGUAGAUAUUGUAUAGAAAUACCCGUACCGCAAACCGACACAGGUAGAUGAGGAGAGGAUCCUAAGACGAGCGGGAGAAGCAUUGUUAAGGAACUCGGCAAAUUAACCCCGUAACUUCGGAAUAAGGGGUACUGAUGUAACAGUCAGUCGCAGAGAAAAGGCCCAAGCAACUGUUUAACAAAAACAUAGGUUUCUGCUAAAUCGAAAGAUGAAGUAUAGGAGCUGACGCCUGCCCAGUGCUGGAAGGUUAAGGGAAGAGGUUAGAUUAUAUCAAAGCUUCGAACUGAAGCCCCAGUGAACGGCGGCCGUAACUAUAACGGUCCUAAGGUAGCGAAAUUCCUUGUCAGGUAAGUUCUGACCCGCACGAAAGGCGUAAUGAUUUGGGCACUGUCUCGACAAUGUCCCCGGCGAAAUUGUAGUACUAGUGAAGAUGCUAGUUACCUGCGAUAAGACAGAAAGACCCCAUGGAGCUUUACUGCAGUUUGAUACUGGGUUUCGAUGAUUUAUGUACAGGAUAGUUGGGAGGCUAUGAGUAAGAGGCGUCAGCUUCUUAGGAGCCAACGUUGGGAUACCAACCUUAAGUUAUUGAAAUUCUAACCUUUGAUCAUGAACUGGUCAGGGGACAAUGUCAGACGGGCAGUUUGACUGGGGCGGUCGCCUCCUAAAGAGUAACGGAGGCGUCCAAAGGUUCCCUCAGCGCGGACAGAAAUCGCGCGAAAGAGUGCAAAGGCAGAAGGGAGCUUAACUGAGAGACAGACAUGUCGACCAGAUACGAAAGUAGGGCUUAGUGAUCCGGUGGUUGUAAAUGGAAAUGCCAUCGCUCAACGGACAAAAGUUACCCUGGGGAUAACAGGCUUAUCUCCCCCAAGAGUUCACAUCGACGGGGAGGUUUGGCACCUCGAUGUCGGCUCAUCGCAUCCUGGAGCGGAAGUACGUUCCAAGGGUUGGGCUGUUCGCCCAUUAAAGCGGUACGCGAGCUGGGUUCAGAACGUCGUGAGACAGUUCGGUCCUUAUCUAUCGCAGGCGUAAGAUAUUUGAAGAGUGCUGUCCUUAGUACGAGAGGACCAGGAUGGACAUACCAAUGGUGUAUCAGUUGUCUCACCAGAGGCACGGCUGAGUAGCUAAGUAUGGAUUGGAUAAACGCUGAAAGCAUCUAAGUGUGAAGCCAACUCUAAGAUAAGAUAUCUCAUAUCGU